UACGAAGGGGGCUAGCGUUGUUCGGAAUUACUGGGCGUAAAGCGCACGUAGGCGGAUCGAUCAGUCAGGGGUGAAAUCCCAGGGCUCAACCCUGGAACUGCCUUUGAUACUGUCGAUCUGGAGUAUGGAAGAGGUGAGUGGAAUUCCGAGUGUAGAGGUGAAAUUCGUAGAUAUUCGGAGGAACACCAGUGGCGAAGGCGGCUCACUGGUCCAUUACUGACGCUGAGGCGCGAAAGCUAGGGGAGCAAACAGG
rnacentral:rRNA from 1 species